UUAUAAGAGGAGUAACUGAGUGAUUCACUCGGGGCACCGCCUCGUGUUGGUGGCGAAGCCAGGACGCAGUUCAAGUCGAGGCCUGUAAAUGUCAAAAUACCCAUCUCAAUUUUCCACACCAGUGAAACCACCAAAGACAUCCUCUUCUGAGCUUUCGAGAAAGAGUACCAGGGAUUGAACUAAUGACCUUGCGCUUGCCAGGCAGACACAGUGCCACUGAGCUACAAUCCGGACCGGAAUACUGUAGUUUUCAUUGUAGAGGACUUCAACUAGUAGCUGUUAUCAUCGGCAUCAUGCACUUAGUGCUAUUUCUGGAGAUAUGCAGAUUGCAAGAGUUAUGAGGUCAUGGAAGCCUCCACCCACAUUUCAAAGGAAGGCCUUAGAGGGGUCAUGAAACAGUAAUGCUUAAAACUGUGAAAAUGAGAUUGGAGAGCCCAGGAAGUUGGAAAAACCAGGACCACCUGUCGAGGAAAACUGCAGGCAGUGAGCAGAGCCAGCUCAGGAGAAAGGCCUUGGGGGCUGCAACCAGCAAGUCCAUACAGGCAGGGCUGCUGAGCCCUUUGGAACUCAUAUCUCACUGCAGCUUGCCCCAGGUGCUGAACAUGGAGCUACAGGAUUUAAUAUUUGCCCUGCAGAUGUUUGGUCUUGCUUUGGUCUUAUUUCUUUCCAUCCCCUAAUUCCUCCCUUUUGAAAUGGGGCUGUUUAUCCUGUGCCAUUGUAUAUUGGAAGUAUUUAACUUCCUUUUUUAUUGUUACAGGGCUCACACCCAAGAGUUUGCUUUGUCUCAGAGGAGACAUUGGACAAUCUUUUUAGCAAUGCUGGAAUUGUUAAGACUUUGGUGACUCUUUGAGAGGGACAAGUGCAUUUUGCAUAAUGAGAUGGACAAAAUGUAUUUUGCAUAAUGAAAUAGACAUGAAGCUUUUAGGGGGUGGGGCAGAAUGUUAUGAUUUCUGUCUUAGUUACUUUUCUCAUUGCUGAGACAAAAUACCUGAUACCCAAAGUUAAAGAAAGAAAGAUUUAUUUUGGUUCACAGUUUGUAGAGGUUUCAGCCUUUAGUCAGCUGGCUCAAGGCAAGGCCGAAUGGCAGAGGGACAUCACAGAGGAAAAACAGUUCAUAGCAGAGCAGGGAGGCAGGCAUCUCUUUUCAUUUUAUCCCAUCCAGACUACAAGCCUUUUGGGUG